rnacentral:sRNA from 1 species
UUUAUAAUUUUUUUUUUUUUUUUUUAUAUUAUAUAUAUUUUAUUAUAUUUGAUUUUUCUUUUUUUACUUAUAAAGAUAGAAAAAAAAGAAAAAACAAAAAUAUAUGAAAAUUGUAUUAUUUUAAUCUUUUACUAUAUUAUUAUAUAUUGUUAUGUAUAUAUAAUAAUAUAAGUAGGAAAAAUAAAGGAUGGGAAGAAUCCUUUUAAUAUUUUGCUUAUUUGUUUCUUCUUUUUUGUUUUAAUUCUUUUAAAAUUUAUGAAAGAGAAGAUGUAAUAUAUGUAUAAGUUAAAUAUAUAUAUAAUAUUUAUAUAGAAUUAUCCACAUUAAACUUUAUUUCUUUCUUUUUUUUUUUUUUUUUUUUUAUUGUUAUAUUGGAAAUUUAUACGGUGCGUACUAUAUUAAAUUGUAUGUGUACAACAUGAAAUUCAUUGUAUUAUAUAUAUAUAUAUAUAUAUAUAUAUAUAUAUAUGAAUAUAAUUUAAAUAUAUAAAAUAUAAUUAUUAUAUAUAUGAAGGGGAAAAAAAAAAAAAAAAUACACAUGGAAACACAAAAUAAAUAAAUUGUAAUAAAUUGUUAAUAUAUAUAUAUAUAUAUUUAUAUAAUAUUUCUGUAAUUUGUUUUAGAAUAAAAAGAAAUGAGAAAAUUACAAAUGCAGAAAUUUUUUGAAAUAAAUAUAUAGAAAGUGUAAAGCUUAUUAAUAUCAUAUAAUUUUAAGUAACAUAUAAUCAUAUAUAUAUAUAUAUAUAUACAUUUCAAAUUAAAUAAAUAAAUGUAGAAAAUAUGUCUAAUAUAACAUCAUUUAUUUGUCUAUAAAUUUUUGAAAUAUUUAUCUUUAUAUAUAUAUAUAUAUAUUUGUUUAUUUUUUUUUUUUAAGGAAAAUUAAUAAGUAUGUACCUUUUAUAAAAUGCAUAUAAUAAAGAGAAAAAAAAUAUACUUGUACAAAAUGGUAAACAUUAAAUUGUAAAAGGUCAUGUUUUUUUUUUACCCUUUACAUAUUUUAUAAAAUUGAAAAAAAAAAAGAAAAGGAAAAAAAUAUACAUUAUUUAUAGAAACUAAGAAAAGAGGAAUCUCCUUUAAAAAUAUAAAUAAGUAGUAAGAAUUAUAAAUAUAAUGUUAUGUUAAUAUAUAUAUAUAUAUGCAAAUUGUUAUAUAUUCGUAUACAUCAGUCAUUUUACCUCUUUUCUUUUCUGUUCACUUACAUUGUAAUAUAAAGAAAAAAGAAAAAAAAGAGGAAACCAAAAAAUUAUAUAACUAUAUAAUUUUUAUACAAAUAUAAGUAAUAUAUAUAUAUGUUCAUAAACCGGAUAACAAUAUUUAAAUAUGCACUUUGACUUGUUGGUUUAUAUAAAUUUCGUUAUUUAUUUUUUUUUUUUUUUUUUUUUUGCGUAACCAUAUUUAGAAUAUGUGUAUUGUGUGUGUCUAUAUAGAUCAUUUUAUUAAAUGAUAUAUAAUUUUAAAAUAUUUUAUUAUAAAAAGAUUAAACCUCUAUUAAAAAAGACAAAAGAAUAUAUACAAAUAAAUAUAUAUACAUAUGUAUUUAGAUAUAUAUAUAUAUAUAUAUAUAUAUAUAUAUAUAUUUUUUUUUUUUUU